rnacentral:lncRNA from 1 species
UUAUUAUUAUUAUUAUUAUUUUUGCUGUGCCAGUCUGACUUAUCACAAUUCUGACAGAAUGCUGAGGAAGAUUUUUCAGGUAGAAGCUUGCAGUGAGACAGUGGUGUCUGCACAAAAUAACAGCAGACUAGGAAGUUGAAAAUGCAUACACUAGUAAAUACUGCCUCAUCUAAGGAAUGCCUCAGAAAUACAACAGGCUUACCUGAACAACGUGAACACUUUAGAAAGCCAGUUUGGCAGCUCAGGGAUUAUCUUUAAUCAUUCAAAGAGUCAGGAAGAUGAAAUUUCUCAUAAAUCCUUCUCCCAUGUGGUGUAACUCCUAUGAAACAGGUGUGUGUUUCUGGGGACAGGAAGGAGAAGGAGUUCGCUCACACCUUGCCCUUCAGUGUCGCCUUGGAGCAAAUCAGCAGAAAGCACAGGACUCGCCUGCAUGAGGAAGACAAGUGGCACAGCCUCACCCUGACCUUCAGGAAGCCUUGGUGCAAAUGACACUCCAUUCCCAGGACCUGCUAGGAUCCUCCCCACCAACCACACUGGGAGUUACUCUGUGCACAACAAACAACUGCCAUCCAGCCUGGUGGUGACAGCAGGGCAACCUCGGUUUGGCCAUUUAGGGGCACCACAGGGGCUAUGACACUCAGAUGUUAAACUGAAAAGCAGUAGAAACAGACAUGUAACUCUUUGGGCUCCUUGUAGCCCUCACCUAUUUUUAGUAAAAUUUGUGGAAACGUUUCUGCAUCAUUGCUGUUAUUUGACUAAUAUAUUUUCACUUCCAUUCUGUUUGGAACAAAUAGAUCUGUUUUCCUAACCCAUCACUAAACACAGCCUCGUUGACUCAGGAUGCAAGGCUCAUCACCUUGUACUGGAGGUGGGUCCACGGAUGGAGCUGCACAAGAUACAGCUGAGAAAGCUGCAGAGAUACUGUGGCCCUUUAAUCUCAUUUUAUAUUUCAUCAGUUCCUAAAUAUAUCUAGCAAAAGAAGUACACAAUUUGUAUUGGUUUCUAGUUGCUACUAAAAUGAAGUUCUGGAAGCUCUGGGAAGUUAUUCUGGAUGCUUUUUAUGCGAAGUACUGUUAAUGCAGCAGCUAAAUCCACUUAUAAACUGAAUAUUUCUUCCUUAGCAAUACAUAAAGAAAGUCCCAUAAUUCUUAUACAAGGAGAAGAAAUAUAUCUGUGAAAGCCACACCCUAAACAAAGCACUGUUG